rnacentral:rRNA from 1 species
UACGAAGGGGGCUAGCGUUGCUCGGAAUGACUGGGCGUAAAGGGCGCGUAGGCGGCUCAUACAGUCAGAUGUGAAAUUCCUGGGCUUAACCUGGGGGGCUGCAUUUGAUACGUGUGGGCUUGAGUGGGGAAGAGGGUCGUGGAAUUCCCAGUGUAGAGGUGAAAUUCGUAGAUAUUGGGAAGAACACCGGUGGCGAAGGCGGCGACCUGGUCCUUGACUGACGCUGAGGCGCGAAAAGCGUGGGGGAGCAAACAGG